GGAAUCUUCGGCAAUGGACGAAAGUCUGACCGAGCAACGCCGCGUGAGUGAAGAAGGUUUUCGGAUCGUAAAACUCUGUUGUUAGAGAAGAACGUUGUGUAGAGUGGAAAAUUACACAAGUGACGGUAUCUAACCAGAAAGGGACGGCUAACUACGUGCCAGCAGCCGCGGUAAUACGUAGGUCCCGAGCGUUGUCCGGAUUUAUUGGGCGUAAAGCGAGCGCAGGUGGUUUAAUAAGUCUGAUGUAAAAGGCAGUGGCUCAACCAUUGUGUGCAUUGGAAACUGUUAGACUUGAGUGCAGUAGAGGAGAGUGGAAUUCCAUGUGUAGCGGUGAAAUGCGUAGAUAUAUGGAGGAACACCGGUGGCGAAAGCGGCUCUCUGGACUGUAACUGACACUGAGGCUCGAAAGCGUGGGUAGCAAACAGGAUUAGAAACCCUGGUAGUCC
rnacentral:rRNA from 1 species